AGAGUUUGAUCCUGGCUCAGAAUCAACGCUGGGCGGCGUGCCUAACACAUGCAAGUCGCACGAGAAAGUGGGGGCAACUCCAUGAGUAAAGUGGCGUACGGGUGAGUAACACGUGACUAACCUACCUCCGAAUGGGGAAUAACACCGGGAAACCGGUGCUAAUACCGCAUAACAUCCACGGAUCAAAGCAGCAAUGCGUUUGGAGAGGGGGUCGCGGCUGAUUAGCUAGUUGGUGGGGUAAUGGCCCACCAAGGCGACGAUCAGUAUCCGGCCUGAGAGGGCGCACGGACACACUGGAACUGAAACACGGUCCAGACUCCUACGGGAGGCAGCAGUGGGGAAUUUUGCGCAAUGGGGGAAACCCUGACGCAGCAACGCCGCGUGGAGGAUGAAGGUCUUUGGAUUGUAAACUCCUUUCGAUCGGGACGAUUAUGACGGUACCGGAAGAAGAAGCACCGGCUAACUCUGUGCCAGCAGCCGCGGUAAUAC
rnacentral:rRNA from 1 species